UGCCCAGCAACUCCUAUCCCUACCUCCUCGCGAUACCGGCCGGAAACUAUGCGCAACCUUAGGGAAGA
rnacentral:ribozyme from 1 species